UGGGAUUUCAAAUAUGUGCUACCACCCUGU
rnacentral:piRNA from 1 species